AAAUUGAAGAGUUUGAUCAUGGCUCAGAUUGAACGCUGGCGGCAGGCCUAACACAUGCAAGUCGAACGGUAACAGGAAGCAGCUUGCUGCUUUGCUGACGAGUGGCGGACGGGUGAGUAAUGUCUGGGAAACUGCCUGAUGGAGGGGGAUAACUACUGGAAACGGUGGCUAAUACCGCAUAACGUCGCAAGACCAAAGAGGGGGACCUUCGGGCCUCUUGCCAUCAGAUGUGCCCAGAUGGGAUUAGCUUGUUGGUGAGGUAACGGCUCACCAAGGCGACGAUCCCUAGCUGGUCUGAGAGGAUGACCAGCCACACUGGAACUGAGACACGGUCCAGACUCCUACGGGAGGCAGCAGUGGGGAAUAUUGCACAAUGGGCGCAAGCCUGAUGCAGCCAUGCCGCGUGUAUGAAGAAGGCCUUCGGGUUGUAAAGUACUUUCAGCGGGGAGGAAGGUGUUGUGGUUAAUAACCGCAGCAAUUGACGUUACCCGCAGAAGAAGCACCGGCUAACUCCGUGCCAGCAGCCGCGGUAAUACGGAGGGUGCAAGCGUUAAUCGGAAUUACUGGGCGUAAAGCGCACGCAGGCGGUCUGUCAAGUCGGAUGUGAAAUCCCCGGGCUCAACCUGGGAACUGCAUUCGAAACUGGCAGGCUUGAGUCUUGUAGAGGGGGGUAGAAUUCCAGGUGUAGCGGUGAAAUGCGUAGAGAUCUGGAGGAAUACCGGUGGCGAAGGCGGCCCCCUGGACAAAGACUGACGCUCAGGUGCGAAAGCGUGGGGAGCAAACAGGAUUAGAUACCCUGGUAGUCCACGCCGUAAACGAUGUCUACUUGGAGGUUGUGCCCUUGAGGCGUGGCUUCCGGAGCUAACGCGUUAAGUAGACCGCCUGGGGAGUACGGCCGCAAGGUUAAAACUCAAAUGAAUUGACGGGGGCCCGCACAAGCGGUGGAGCAUGUGGUUUAAUUCGAUGCAACGCGAAGAACCUUACCUGGUCUUGACAUCCACAGAACUUUCCAGAGAUGGAUUGGUGCCUUCGGGAACUGUGAGACAGGUGCUGCAUGGCUGUCGUCAGCUCGUGUUGUGAAAUGUUGGGUUAAGUCCCGCAACGAGCGCAACCCUUAUCCUUUGUUGCCAGCGGUUAGGCCGGGAACUCAAAGGAGACUGCCAGUGAUAAACUGGAGGAAGGUGGGGAUGACGUCAAGUCAUCAUGGCCCUUACGACCAGGGCUACACACGUGCUACAAUGGCGCAUACAAAGAGAAGCGACCUCGCGAGAGCAAGCGGACCUCAUAAAGUGCGUCGUAGUCCGGAUUGGAGUCUGCAACUCGACUCCAUGAAGUCGGAAUCGCUAGUAAUCGUGGAUCAGAAUGCCACGGUGAAUACGUUCCCGGGCCUUGUACACACCGCCCGUCACACCAUGGGAGUGGGUUGCAAAAGAAGUAGGUAGCUUAACCUUCGGGAGGGCGCUUACCACUUUGUGAUUCAUGACUGGGGUGAAGUCGUAACAAGGUAACCGUAGGGGAACCUGCGGUUGGA
rnacentral:rRNA from 2 species